rnacentral:rRNA from 1 species
GGGAGCUUGCUCCCAUUUCUCAGCGGCGGACGGGUGAGUAACACGUGGGCAACCUGCCCUGCAGACUGGGAUAACUCCGGGAAACCGGAGCUAAUACCGGGUAAUACAUAGCAUCGCAUGAUGCAACGUUGAAAGUUGGCCUUUGGCUAACACUGUAGGAUGGGCCCGCGGCGCAUUAGCUAGUUGGUAAGGUAACGGCUUACCAAGGCCACGAUGCGUAGCCGACCUGAGAGGGUGAUCGGCCACACUGGGACUGAGACACGGCCCAGACUCCUACGGGAGGCAGCAGUAGGGAAUCUUCCGCAAUGGACGAAAGUCUGACGGAGCAACGCCGCGUGAGUGACGAAGGCCUUCGGGUCGUAAAGCUCUGUUGUUAGGGAAGAACAAGUACCGUUCGAAUAGGGCGGUACCUUGACGGUACCUAACCAGAAAGCCACGGCUAACUACGUGCCAGCAGCCGCGGUAAUACGUAUGUGGCAAGCGUUGUCCGGAAUUAUUGGGCGUAAAGCGCGCGCAGGCGGUCUCUUAAGUCUGAUGUGAAAGCCCACGGCUCAAUCGUGGAGGGCCAUUGGAAACUGGGGGACAUGACUGCAGAAGAGGAUAGUGGAAUUCCACGUGUAGCGGUGUACAUGCGAUAUAUAUGUGGAGGAACACCGUGGUCGCAAGUCGCUCUCUGGUCUGUAACUGAGACUGACGAGCGC